UACGGAGGGUGCAAGCGUUAUCCGGAUUCACUGGGUUUAAAGGGUGUGUAGGCGGGCAUUUAAGUCAGUGGUGAAAUCUCCAGGCUCAACCUGGAAACUGCCAUUGAUACUAUUUAUCUUGAAUUCUGUUGAGGUGGGCGGAAUACAUCAUGUAGCGGUGAAAUGCUUAGAUAUGACAUAGAACACCAAUUGCGAAGGCAGCUGGCUACACAAAUAUUGACACUGAGGCACGAAAGCGUGGGGAUCAAACAGG
rnacentral:rRNA from 1 species